AACGAACGCUGGCGGCAGGCUUAACACAUGCAAGUCGAACGCGAAAUCACCUUCGGGUGGUGGAGAGUGGCAGACGGGUGAGUAACGCGUGGGAAUCUACCUGAUGGUACGGAAUAACUCAGGGAAACUUGAGCUAAUACCGUAUGUGCCCGAGAGGGGAAAGAUUUAUCGCCAUCAGAUGAGCCCGCGUCGGAUUAGCUAGUUGGUGGGGUAAAAGCCCACCAAGGCGACGAUCCGUAGCUGGUCUGAGAGGAUGAUCAGCCACACUGGGACUGAGACACGGCCCAGACUCCUACGGGAGGCAGCAGUGGGGAAUAUUGGACAAUGGGCGAAAGCCUGAUCCAGCAAUGCCGCGUGAGUGAUGAAGGCCUUAGGUUGUAAAGCUCUUUACCUAGGGAUGAUAAUGACAGUACCUGGAGAAUAAGACUCCGGCUAACUCCGUGCCAGCAGCCGCGGUAAU
rnacentral:rRNA from 1 species